GAUGAAGAACGCAGCGAAAUGCGAUAAGUAGUGUGAAUUGCAGAAUUCAGUGAAUCAUCGAAUCUUUGAACGCACAUUGCGCCCCUUGGUAUCCCGAGGGGCUUGCCUGUUCGAGCGUCAUUUCACCACUCAAGCCUGGCUUGGUGUUGGGCGACGUCCCCUUUAGGGACGCGCCUCGAAACGCUCGGCGGCGUGGCACCGGCUUUAAGCGUAGCAGAAUCUUUCGCUUUGGAAGUCGGGGCCCCGCCUGCCGGAAUACCUACUCGUAAGGUUGACCUCGGAUCAGGCAGGGAUACCCGCUGAACUUAAGCAUAUCAAUAAGCGGAGGA
rnacentral:misc_RNA from 1 species